GAGUGUGUGUGUGAGAGUGUGUGUGUGUGUGUGUGUGUGUGAAAGAGGGAGAGGGAGCGAGAGAGCGAGAGAGAGGGAGAGAGAGAGAGAGGGAGAGAGGGAGGGAGAGAGAAAAGAAGAGGGGGAAAAAAAGGAAAGAAGAUUUUCUCUAUGUAUAUAAAGAUGGCCACGUUAGCAAACGGACAACCAGACAAUACCAGCCUGAGUAGCAAUCACAGCAACCCCAGCACCAACGGGCAUAUGAACGGAUUAAACCAUAGUCCCGGAAACCCAUCCACCAUCCCAAUGAAGGACCACGAUGCCAUUAAGCUCUUUAUUGGGCAGAUCCCCCGUAACCUGGACGAGAAAGACCUCAAACCGCUCUUCGAGGAGUUCGGGAAGAUCUAUGAACUGACGGUGCUGAAGGACAGGUUCACUGGCAUGCACAAAGGCUGUGCCUUCCUAACAUACUGCGAAAGGGAGUCUGCUCUAAAGGCCCAGAGUGCACUGCAUGAACAGAAGACUCUUCCGGGGAUGAACAGACCAAUCCAGGUGAAACCAGCGGACAGUGAAAGCCGAGGAGAAGAUAGAAAACUCUUUGUGGGCAUGCUCAAUAAGCAGCAGUCGGAAGACGAUGUGCGCAGGCUAUUCGAGGCAUUUGGCAACAUUGAGGAGUGCACAAUCCUUCGGGGACCCGAUGGCAACAGCAAAGGGUGUGCAUUUGUGAAAUACUCUUCGCAUGCGGAGGCCCAAGCAGCCAUCAAUGCCUUGCAUGGCAGCCAGACUAUGCCGGGAGCCUCUUCAAGCCUGGUGGUGAAGUUUGCAGAUACUGACAAGGAGCGCACAAUGAGGCGCAUGCAGCAAAUGGCAGGACAAAUGGGCAUGUUCAACCCCAUGGCCAUCCAGUUUGGAGCGUAUGGCGCCUAUGCACAGGCACUGAUGCAGCAGCAAGCCGCGAUCAUGGCGUCGGUGGCGCAGGGUGGUUACCUGAACCCCAUGGCAGCCUUUGCCGCAGCCCAGAUGCAACAGAUGGCGGCUCUGAACAUGAACGGGCUGGCAGCCGCACCCAUGACACCAACCUCAGGUGGAAGCACGCCUCCUGGCAUAACUGCACCAGCUGUGCCUAGCAUCCCAUCUCCAAUUGGGGUGAAUGGUUUCACCGGCCUCCCGCCGCAGGCUAAUGGGCAGCCCGCUGCAGAAGCCGUGUUUGCUAAUGGCAUACACCCUUACCCAGCACAGAGCCCCACUGCAGCAGACCCCUUGCAGCAAGCCUACGCUGGAGUGCAGCAGUACGCAGGUCCUGCUUAUCCUGCUGCUUAUGGCCAGAUUAGCCAAGCGUUCCCACAGCCACCUCCCAUGAUUCCACAGCAACAGAGAGAAGGACCAGAGGGCUGUAACCUGUUUAUCUACCAUCUGCCCCAGGAGUUUGGGGAUGCUGAGCUGAUGCAGAUGUUCCUGCCUUUCGGUAAUGUCAUCUCCUCGAAAGUGUUUGUGGAUCGGGCGACAAACCAAAGUAAAUGCUUUGGUUUUGUGAGUUUUGACAAUCCUGCCAGUGCCCAAGCUGCUAUCCAGGCUAUGAACGGCUUCCAGAUUGGCAUGAAGAGGCUGAAGGUGCAGCUGAAGAGGCCAAAGGAUGCUAAUCGUCCCUACUGAAGAGUUAUGGGAACCACUGGAUACAAAGCACUAGCACAGAGCCAGUCAAAUCCACCACAGUCUCGCGCUGAGCUAGGAAAAAAGUUCACGUAAUGACAUGAAAGUGGAGAAUACAGUCCCCCAGGCCGGCAGCAGCUGAAUGGGCCACAUUUAGAAAAAAAAAAAAAGUAUAUAUAUAUUAAAAAAAUGGGAACUGUUGGAUUACACCUUUGACAUAUCAGCAAAUAUCAAUCAAGCUGAAGACUUCAGACUUAUUCUCUCUUUGAUUGUUUAGACUGUAACAUUUCUUCAAGAAAAGUAUCACAUCUGCUGACUUCGAAGGACAUGCGCUUGAAAACAAACAAAAAAACACAUAAGCAAAAUCAGAACAGGAACAAGAUCAACCAGGAUUUAUGAAGAGACACUGAUAUCACCACAGCGGCUUUUCUUCAAACAGGAGAUGCAAACCUGGAUACUGAAAAAGGAGUGCCUGUUUGUCACCAAGGAUGCGGUUACCAUGUGUGACCCAUGGUAACAGUCACUGAGCAUCUUUAUCUGUCAUUCCUUAGCUAUAUAGGGACCAAAGGACAAAACUUUUUACCGCAGACUUGUAGCUGUAUGUAAAAUAUGGAAGUUCUUUCCUUUUCUCUAAGCUGUUCCUAAAACAGUUUUUGAGAGCGAUUAUAUGAAAUAUGUAAAAAUUAAAAAAAAAAAAACAACAAAAAAACCCCACAAAACAAACAAACGCUUAAAUGCUUUUAAAACAGCAAGAUAAUAGUUCUUUGAUACUUUGGGAGGUUCUUUGGUUAUACAUUAAUUAGAGUUUAUGAAGCUUUCAUAUGGUUUUCUGUAUAAUAAGUAAGGAUCGCGCUGUUAAAGGCAAGUAAGAUGGAUAUCUAUGAAAAGCAAAAAAGUAGAUAAAUAAAUACAUAAAUAAAUACAUAAAAAGGCAUAGAGAAGAGAAAGGAAAGAUGGUUGAUAUUAAAUGGAAAACAAAGAAGGUUUGUAAAUGCUUCUAACUCUCCCCAUUUAAAAUCCUAAUAGUUGUACAGAAUUUAAAAAAAGAAAGUUUAAAAUACCUAUAUAAUAGAAAAAAUUAGACAACAUAAAAAGAAAAAAAAAACAAAAAAGCAAAAAAAAAAUACUACAUAGAAGUUAGCGUUAAUGCUAAAAACAAAGAUGUUGUAGAACUGUAAUUUUUGUAGAGUUUAGACUGAGCAUUAAUUCCUAUUCUCUGCCAAUGCUCUUGGAUGCUGUUAUUUAUUAAGGAGAUAAAGGAGAUAAAUGGCUACUUCGGCAGCUUUUUUAACUGCAAGCAUUCCAGCUAUUAAAAAAAUAAACAAAACACAACUCAAUUCUGUAGACAAUGCAAACGGGAAACAAAACAGCUGUCUUUUUAUCAGACGCUAGUUCUAACUUGAACAACAAAACACAGCUAAACGCUUCAUGUCUUCAUGAUCUGCUAUCCGCAAAAUUCCCAUCAUCCUAUGCUUCAGUAGCUUCCAUAUUUGCUCUAGAAACCUUCAGGGCAAGGGGUUAGCCUAGAACCUUAAUCUUAAAAAAUAAAAAAAUAAUAUAAAAAAAUAAAAAUAAAAAAAUAAAAUAAAAAAAAAAACAAUCUCUUUGAAGAAUUUCUGAAACUGUUUACAAGGAAUUUUGAAAAACAGGGGGUGUUAAAAAAAAGAUGCUGGCUCUGUUUUUCUGUAAAUAAAUUUGCAUAUUUUGUAGGACUUUUAAUUGUAAUGAUAGAGAAAAACAAGGAAAACUAUUUAAUGAAAGCACGAUAUUUAUCUUUGGUAAAUGACUUUAGAGCAGUUAAAAAAUAAGACAUUGCUUUAAAAAUCUGACUCAGAAAAACAAUGAAUUAUUUUAGAACUCAUAUAUUUUAAAGUAUAUCAUAUUUAUUAUAAUUUAUUUUCACAAUCUUAAAACUUGAUUUACAUCAUUCUCACACUUGUUUGGAUUGAUUGAGCAGUGUGACAAUUGUUUCUGAUUCCUAUUUGGUUUUAGUCUGUUCUGAUGUUCUCGUUUGGGUUUUGUAGUACUUUUUAUCUUAAUCUUAAACUUACUUACUUUCUCUUUGUUUGUUUGUUUGGUUUGUUUGUUUGUUUGUUUGUUUGUUUAAUUUUAUUUUAAUUUCAAUUUCGUGUCGGGCCUGAUCUCACGGGCCUUACGCUGUCAGAAUUCCCAUGGGGAUGUUGCGGGUAUUUUGGCAGAGUAAGGGCAGUCAGGCAGAGCCCUCAGCUAGGAAGUACAGAUGUGUAAAGCAGCUGCAAUUCCAUACAACUGCUCUUUCACUCUCAAUUCCCUAAAACUCCUUGUAAUCUUCUGUAAUUAUUGAAUGACGCUUUCCAGCUUAGCCCUAAAUAAAGCACAGUUUAAAAAAAAAAUGCUAUGUU